rnacentral:SRP_RNA from 1 species
GGAAGGUUGGCUUUGGACGAACUCCUCGCCAAUCCGGUCAGGUCCGGAAGGAAGCAGCCGUAACGAGUUUUGGUUCGGGUCGAUGUUCAACCUUCCACC